rnacentral:rRNA from 1 species
GAGCAACCUGGCUCUAAGAGGGGGACAACAGUUGGAAACGACUGCUAAUACCGCAUAACGUAUCGGGAUGGCAUCUUCCUGAUACCAAAGAUUUUAUCGCUUAGAGAUGGGCUCGCGUCUGAUUAGAUAGUUGGCGGGGUAACGGCCCACCAAGUCGACGAUCAGUAGCCGGACUGAGAGGUUGAACGGCCACAUUGGGACUGAGACACGGCCCAGACUCCUACGGGAGGCAGCAGUGGGGGAUAUUGGACAAUGGGGGCAACCCUGAUCCAGCGACGCCGCGUGAGGGAAGAAGGUUUUCGGAUUGUAAACCUCUGUUGACGGAGAAAAAAAUGAUGGUAUCCGUUUAGAAAGCCACGGCUAACUAC